AGGUGCCAAAGAUUUUAUGGUUUGGGCCCUGUUCUUUGUCAGAGAUGUUGGCUCAGGAAAGAGAAUUAAUGCUCACGAGAAGGUAGCAGAGCCGAUUGUGUUCUUGUGCUGUGUUUCUCCUGUCAGGAUCUUUUUAUCUGCACCAAACUACUGCUGAUGCUCCACCAAGAAAGACCAAGCUGAGAGCUGCUCUGCUAACUUCAGAGCUAAAGCAAUGCUGAUGGGCUUUCAUUUAGGAGACACAAGCUCUCUACGCUUUGGACAGUCCCUAACUAGCACUCUAGAACAAAGCAGCCCGUGCUUUCUUGUGGAAAGCAAAAUGAUCUGGAAUUUCUUGUAGCUUUUCUUCAUAAUAACACGGCAAAGCACUCGGGUACAGAUGAUGCUUCGGUUGCGGAUUAUCCUGUGCUUCAUGGACACGCUGAUCCUCUCUCUGUACUCUGUCUCUGGGUUGCAGUAGGAAGAUGAACAAGUCUCCCAUUUUCCCCAAAGAUGAACAUGGGAACUGCGGCGAGCUUGGUUAUGAUCUCCAAUUGGACUUCUCAAAGUUCCUGGAAGAAGCAAGAAAUCAUGCUAGCAAUAUACUCUCACUUCCACAAUCCGACUCGCUCGAGAAGGUGAGAAUGAAAGAUACAAAGAAGAAGAAGAAGACAUGGCCAAGAUCUGUAUCCUUCUGGUUUAAGUUUGGAAAAAGUGCAGGAGAAGAAGCAACAUCCAAAACCAAUAAUACGCUGAAGGACUCCUCCGCCUCCAAUCCUUUGGAUGCAGAUCACAGACCAUUGUCGGGUCGGAUAUUUGGAAAUGGAAGUAAAUUUUCUCAGCUUCAUCGAAGAAUUCGACAAUCUACUUCAGGACCUCUUGCUUGUUGCUUCACUCCUACAAGAGCAGAAGAGACUGAGGUGCCUUACAGAUUCUUGGACCACCAAAACCAUCCUUUGAGAGCUCAGGCUUUUGGUCCGAUUUACCUGGUAACAUGAGCCAUGGAUCUUGAAUGGUGUUACUGAUAGAUUAAUCCCUUUACCACGGAGAAUUUUGCCACCAUUUUGAUUCAGUUUGCUCGUUUGAUAAUUGCUGCACUAGAAUCAUUUUUAUCUCGAGAUGAAUCUGUCACAAAUACCGACUAAUGGUUAUGAAUUAUGGAAUGUGCUUCCACUGGGCUUCUUGCAAACAUGUUUAUGAGAUGCUAGAAUU